rnacentral:rRNA from 1 species
UCAGCAGCCGCGGUAAUACGUAGGGUGCGAGCGUUAAUCGGAAUUACUGGGCGUAAAGCGUGCGCAGGCGGUUUUGUAAGUCGGAUGUGAAAUCCCCGGGCUCAACCUGGGAACUGCGUUCGAAACUGCAAGGCUAGAGUGUGUCAGAGGGGGGUAGAAUUCCACGUGUAGCAGUGAAAUGCGUAGAGAUGUGGAGGAAUACCAAUGGCGAAGGCAGCCCCCUGGGAUAACACUGACGCUCAUGCACGAAAGCGUGGGGAGCAAACAGGAUUAGAUACCCUGGUAGUCCACGCCCUAAACGAUGUCAACUAGUUGUUGGUAGAGUAAAAUCUAUGAGUAACGUAGCUAACGCGUGAAGUUGACCGCCUGGGGAGUACGGUCGCAAGAUUAAAACUCAAAGGA